rnacentral:rRNA from 1 species
AUUCGUCACACUAUCAUUAACUGAAUCCAUAGGUUAAUGAGGCGAACCGGGGGAACUGAAACAUCUAAGUACCCCGAGGAAAAGAAAUCAACCGAGAUUCCCCCAGUAGCGGCGAGCGAACGGGGAGCAGCCCAGAGCCUGAAUCAGUGUGUGUGUUAGUGGAAGCGUCUGGAAAGGCGCGCGAUACAGGGUGACAGCCCCGUACACAAAAAUGCACAUACUGUGAGCUCGAUGAGUAGGGCGGGACACGUGGUAUCCUGUCUGAAUAUGGGGGGACCAUCCUCCAAGGCUAAAUACUCCUGACUGACCGAUAGUGAACCAGUACCGUGAGGGAAAGGCGAAAAGAACCCCGGCGAGGGGAGUGAAAAAGAACCUGAAACCGUGUACGUACAAGCAGUGGGAGCCUCUUUAUGGGGUGACUGCGUACCUUUUGUAUAAUGGGUCAGCGACUUAUAUUCUGUAGCAAGGUUAACCGAAUAGGGGAGCCGAAGGGAAACCGAGUCUUAACUGGGCGUUAAGUUGCAGGGUAUAGACCCGAAACC